GGGGCUGUGGCUGGUGGGCAGCGUCCGCGCUCCCGGCGAGCGAAGGGCAAUCGUUCUUCCUCGCAGGGGAGUUCGGCUUCGCCCGCCGCCUCACC
rnacentral:tRNA from 1 species